CCUUUUAAUUUUACUUUUGUUCAAGCUUCUUGUUGACCGUAGGGUUGAAGCAGCAGAUAACGCCACCACUCUAUUCUCUCUCUUGCAAGCCCCUAACUCUCACUUCAUCAUGUCUCAAUCUUCUCAUUUUUUUUCUCUUACGAUUCUUGUUUUUCUUCUAAAAUUUUCUAAUUUUCUUCAACAAUGGGAGCUUCGUUGCCUCCAAAGGAAGCUAAUCUCUUCAAACUCAUUGUCGUCCAUGUGCUAUUGCUAAAGCUCUUGUAUAUUUUAUCAUUGCAGAAAUCAUAUGAAACUAAACAGUACAAGAAAGGACUGAAGGCUGCAGAUGCAAUACUGAAAAAGUUUCCUGACCAUGGAGAUAGAGAAUACAGGGAGGCUAUCAAAUGCUAUCGCAACGCUUUGAGAAUAGAUCCAGACAACAUUGAAAUACUACGGGACUUGUCACUCUUGCAGGCACAAAUGCGAGAUUUGACAGGAUUUGUUGAUACAAGACAACAACUUUUGCAUUUGAAACCAAAUCAUUGCAUGAACUGGAUUGGCUUUGCUGUAGCCCACCAUUUAAACUCAAAUUUUAUAUGGAGACAAUGAUGAUGCCAUAUUUUCAUUUGGCUUUAUAUAUGAAUGAAUUGAAGUUGUUGGCACAACAUGGUGCAAAAGCAGUUGAAAUUUUGGAAGCAUUUGAAGGGACAUUAGAAGAUGAUUAUCCACCAGAUAAUGAACGUUGUGAGCAUGGUGAAAUGCUUUUAUAUUAG